ensembl:lncRNA
CCUUACUCAACUUUGGUGCUAUAUAAACAGUAAUAAGCCACGAACACAGCAUUCCUGCCCUUCUCCUUGACGUCAUCUGUUUGCUAGUGGGUUUGGUUUGAAGAAAUAGUGGUGAGCAAAAUCCAAGCGCUAAUUAAGCCUACAGGGCACAUCAGACAGACCCGUCGUUGUGCUGGCUAUUCACUCUUGGUCUUUUCUCAGCAAUAAUUCCAACCAGUGACAUCCCCAGCUGCUAUGACCCAACACAGCUCAUUUGAGCAGUGACACACAGAUUUUCUGGCCCAGUCUGUACGAGGAGGAGGCUGUGCUGGCUCCAGAUAGGAAGAGGCUCCACUGAUGGGAAAUAUCUGGACACUGCUGCACAGCUCAGGACCAGAGUUCCCUUGCAUGGUACCCACACAAAGGACCCUUGGAGACCUUUGGCUGCGCUCACCCAAAGGGAGCUGUAAGCUGAGCUGCUUCCAAACAGAUUUUCUGAAAACAGACAGCAUCUCCUCUCGCUGCCACACCGGAGCCCACGCUACCAAACCUCAGCUUGUGGGGCACACAGCCUGCCUCCAGCCCUCGGCUCCCCAGCUGAUGCUCAUGGGCAAGUUCCAUUGGCUGGAGGUCCUUUGGUUCUGCCCCAGAACACUUGGCACAAGGAAUGCUGCCUGCCGUGGUGUGGAGUCUUGGGUUUACCCCUGGCUCCUGCACUGCUUUUUGCCACAUCGCUUCACCUAACACCUCUCCAUGCCUCAGUUUCCCCAACUAUAAAGCCGACAAUAAAGAAACUCCCACUUCCUCUCAGCCUUUUUCUUUUAGCUGUUAUGAUUUCUUCCUUUUAUAAUGGCAAUGAACAGACACAGCCAAGAUUAAAAUCACAGAGUAAAAAUAUACAAAAAAAAGGCACUCCCGCACCAGACAGUACAGAGUAGAGACUGUAAUCAUUUUAAACUGGGUCUGUUUACGUUUGUGUUGUUUUCUUUCUUUGUUUUGUUUGUUUGUUUGUUUUGCCAAAGCAUCAGCACUUUGUAAAUAAUACUGCAACUCCCUGCUCGGCGGGGUGGUUUUAAACCCUCGGUCAUUUUGGAUUGGGUGCAGAACAGCAGCGUGGCCAUCAGAUCGUCACAGAGUUGUUAAGGUUGGAAAGACCUCUAAGAUCACCAAGUCCAACCCCAACCCACCUCACCAUGCCCAUAGCCGUGUCCCUCAGUGCCACAUCUCCACGGUCCUUAAACACCUCCAGGGAUGGUGACUCCCCCACCUCCCCGUGCAGCAGUGCCACUGCAUCACUGC